rnacentral:rRNA from 1 species
UACAGGGGGGGCAAGCGUUGUUCGGAAUUACUGGGCGUAAAGGGCUCGUAGGUGGCCAACUAAGUCAGACGUGAAAUCCCUCAGCUUAACCGGGGAACUGCGUCUGAUACUGGAUGGCUUGAGAUUGGGAGAGGGAUGCGGAAUUCCAGGUGUAGCGGUGAAAUGCGUAGAUAUCUGGAGGAACACCGGUGGCGAAGGCGGCAUCCUGGACCAACACUGACGCUGAGGAGCGAAAGCGUGGGGAGCGAACAGG